rnacentral:tRNA from 1 species
GUGGAUAUAGCUCAGUGGUAGAUUACUUGUCUAACAUGCAUGAGUCCCUGGGUUCAAUCCCCAGUACCACA